UACGUAGGGUGCGAGCGUUGUCCGGAAUUAUUGGGCGUAAAGAGCUCGUAGGCGGUUUGUCGCGUCGGCCGUGAAAACUUGGGGCUUAACCCCAAGCCUGCGGUCGAUACGGGCAGACUUGAGUUCGGCAGGGGAGACUGGAAUUCCUGGUGUAGCGGUGAAAUGCGCAGAUAUCAGGAAGAACACCCGUGGCUAAGGCGGUUCUCUAGUACGGUACUGACGCUGAGACGCGAAAGCGUGGGGAGCGAACAGG
rnacentral:rRNA from 1 species